AUUCUUCUAGUAUAAGGUCAGUAUAUGUGACUUCCAAUCACCCGGACCUGGUUAAACCCCAGGGAAGAAUA
rnacentral:tRNA from 1 species